rnacentral:siRNA from 1 species
UUAGAAUGACAUGUGGCACUCAUU